rnacentral:rRNA from 1 species
AACGUAGGUACCGAGCGUUAUCCGGAUUUACUGGGCGUAAAGCGCGUUCAGGCGGUUUGGCAAGUCGGGCAUGAAAUCUCUCGGCUCAACCGGGAGAGGUUGUCCGAUACUGUCAGACUGGAGGGCAGUAGAGGGUGGUGGAAUUCCGGGUGUAGUGGUGAAAUGCGUAGAGAUCCGGAGGAACACCAGUGGCGAAAGCGGCCACCUGGACUGCACCUGACGCUGAAACGCGAAAGCUAGGGGAGCGAACGGG